GGACUACACGGGUAUCUAAUCCUGUUUGCUCCCCUAGCUUUCGUGCCUCAGUGUCAGGUAUUGUCCAGGGACUCGCCUUCGCCACUGGUGUUCCUCUCGAUAUCUACGCAUUUCACUGCUACACCGAGAAUUCCAGUCCCCCCUCCAAUCCUCAAGUAGGAUAGUAUUCAAUGCAGUUUCCGGGUUAAGCCCGGAGAUUUCACAUCAAACUUACCCUACCACCUACGCACCCUUUACGCCCAGUGAAUCCGAACAACGCUCGGGACCUCUGUAUUACCGCGGCUGCUGGCAC
rnacentral:rRNA from 1 species